rnacentral:rRNA from 1 species
GUGGUAAUGCCGGAUGUUCCACAUGAUCGCAUGUGAUUGUGGGAAAGAUUCUAUCGGCGUGGGAUGGGGUCGCGUCCUAUCAGCUUGUUGGUGAGGUAACGGCUCACCAAGGCUUCGACGGGUAGCCGGCCUGAGAGGGCGACCGGCCACAUUGGGACUGAGAUACGGCCCAGACUCCUACGGGAGGCAGCAGUGGGGAAUAUUGCACAAUGGGCGCAAGCCUGAUGCAGCGACGCCGCGUGAGGGAUGGAGGCCUUCGGGUUGUAAACCUCUUUUGUUUGGGAGCAAGCCUUCGGGUGAGUGUACCUUUCGAAUAAGCGCCGGCUAACUACGUGCCAGCAGCCGCGGUAAUACGUAGGGCGCAAGCGUUAUCCGGAUUUAUUGGGCGUAAAGGGCUCGUAGGCGGCUCGUCGCGUCCGGUGUGAAAGUCCAUCGCUUAACGGUGGAUCUGCGCCGGGUACGGGCGGGCUGGAGUGCGGUAGGGGAGACUGGAAUUCCCGGUGUAACGGUGGAAUGUGUAGAUACGG